GUGGGGUGACUGCGUACCUUUUGUAUAAUGGGUCAGCGACUUAUAUUCUGUAGCAAGGUUAACCGUAUAGGGGAGCCGUAGGGAAACCGAGUCUUAACCGGGCGUUAAGUUGCAGGGUAUAGACCCGAAACCCGGUGAUCUAGCCAUGGGCAGGUUGAAGGUUGGGUAACACUAACUGGAGGACCGAACCGACUAAUGUUGAAAAAUUAGCGGAUGACCUGUGGCUGGGGGUGAAAGGCCAAUCAAACCGGGAGAUAGCUGGUUCUCCCCGAAAGCUAUUUAGGUAGCGCCUCGUGAAUUCAUCUCCGGGGGUAGAGCACUGUUUCGGCUAGGGGGCCAUCCCGGCUUACCAACCCGAUGCAAACUGCGAAUACCGGAGAAUGUUAUCACGGGAGACACACGGCGGGUGCUAACGUCCGUCGUGAAGAGGGAAACAACCCAGACCGCCAGCUAAGGUCCCAAAGUCAUGGUUAAGUGGGAAACGAUGUGGGAAGGCCCAGACAGCCAGGAUGUUGGCUUAGAAGCAGCCAUCAUUUAAAGAAAGCGUAAUAGCUCACUGGUCGAGUCGGCCUGCGCGGAAGAUGUAACGGGGCUAAACCAUGCACCGAAGCUGCGGCAGCGA
rnacentral:rRNA from 1 species